rnacentral:lncRNA from 1 species
AUUUAUCACGUCAUUCUCCUUCCAUCUGCAGUGGGCAGCUAGAUGAAUGACUCUAAGUUCUGUCUAUUGGGCAAUGGAAGUUCCUCAUAAGGGCACAGAUUGAAGUGAGGGAGGACCAGCACUGUAGCACAAGGUGGCAGAUGUUAAGUUGCAUGUGCCUUCCAGACCUACGUGUACCUGAUCUCAGAGCUGUCACCUCCAUUUGAUAAGAGUUUGUUUCUGCAGACACCCAACCUUAAGGUUUAGAGGAUCAGAGAACCCUCACUUCAUGGUGGGAAACUCAAGCCACUUAGUCACUCAUUCUUAUGGUGGAGACUGGCACUCAGCUCAUGUCUCCCAAUCUAGGAUUGAGAGGCUGCCACAGCUGAGCUCCCUGUGAAAUUUCUCAAAGCCCACAGGAACAGCUUUUCCCAAGGUAACCUGGUUCCCAGAUCUAAUACCUGGUUGAUAUGGCAACAUUGGUGCCUGUUCCCUUUCAAGGCAGGACAUCUCAAUAGGGACAUCUCAAUAGGGACAUCUCAAUUUGAGUUCCCUGCGUGAGCAGCUGAGGCCUCUGUUGCAACCAUCACAGUUCAACAUCUUCCUCUGUCUCUCUUACUCUCUAAUAGAUUGCUGUUCCCAACUGCAGUCUCCAGUAUACCUUCUGUCUGUCAAGUCCCAUCUUAGAAUUGGCUUCCUGGGGAACCAAUGAAAUAGUCAAAUGUUCAGACUACAAAGUCCUUGAGGCCAGGACUGAAGAAGCAGAAGCGGCUGUCACCUCUUGCCACCUGCGCCUCCAGGGGCUCUCCCACCGCCUGCCCUGCCUUCAUCUCCAUCUUGCCCUGCCCUCACCCCGCUCGUCUCUCUUCUGAGCACUCCGUGAGAACCUGGGAAAAAGAGCUUUUGGAGAAUUGCAGACUCUCCUUGUGUCUGUUUCACAUUCGGUCUUUAUGAAAAUUUUUGCUGAUUCUUCUCGCCCUCUCGUAUGACAGCUGCUCCUUCCUCCCAAGCUCAGCCUCAGCGGAGACCUUGCACGUCCCUCCCUGCCUAGGUGGGGCCCUGGCCCUCUCCGGAACUCAGGCAACUCCAGCCCUCAGACGGGCUCAAGGAAAGUUAUGAUUUUGUAGUUUAUCUAGCUUUCCCACAUUUUAGAGGCAUUUCCAGCUUUCUGUAUCCUAAGUAGAGGAGGAAAAAAAUGGAUUUG